rnacentral:tRNA from 1 species
GCGGGUGUAGCUCAAUGGUAGAGCGGUAGCCUUCCAAGCUACCUACGAGGGUUCGAUUCCCUUCACCCGCUCCA